rnacentral:rRNA from 1 species
AGAGUUUGAUCCUGGCUCAGAAUCAACGCUGGCGGCGCGCCUAACACAUGCAAGUCGAACGAGAAAGUGGAGCAAUCCAUGAGUACAGUGGCGUACGGGUGAGUAACACGUGGGUGAUCUACCUUUUAGUGAGGAAUAACCGAGGGAAACUUUGGCUAAUACCGCAUAGGCCUGAGAAGGGAAAGCAGAAAUGCGCUGAAAGAGGAGCCCGCGGCCGAUUAGCUAGUUGGUGGGGUAAGAGCCUACCAAGGCAGAGAUCGGUAGCCGGCCUGAGAGGGCACACGGCCACACUGGCACUGAAACACGGGCCAGACUCCUACGGGAGGCAGCAGUGGGGAAUCUUGCACAAUGGGGGAAACCCUGAUGCAGCGACGCCGCGUGAGCGAUGAAGCCCUUCGGGGUGUAAAGCUCUUUCGUCAGGGAAGAUAGUGACGGUACCUGGAGAAGCAGCUGCGGCUAACUACGUGCCAGCAGCCGCGGUAAUACGUAGGCAGCAAGCGUUGUUCGGAGUUACUGGGCGUAAAGGGUGUGUAGGCGGUUCUUUAAGUUUGCUGUGAAAUCUCCCGGCUUAACCGGGAGGGUGCGGUGAAUACUGAGGGACUAGAGUACGGGAGAGGAAAGUGGAAUUCCUGGUGUAGCGGUGAAAUGCGUAGAUAUCAGGAGGAACACCGGUGGUGUAGACGGCUUUCUGGACCGUAACUGACGCUGAGACACGAAAGCGUGGGUAGCAAACAGGAUUAGAUACCCUAGUAGUCC